UGGCUUGACUUAUGCAAGUCCUGUGCAC
rnacentral:piRNA from 1 species